rnacentral:rRNA from 1 species
CAAGGCUUGACAUAUAGAGGAAAAGUGCAGAAAUGCACUCCCCGCAAGGUCUCUAUACAGGUGGUGCAUGGUUGUCGUCAGCUCGUGUCGUGAGAUGUUGGGUUAAGUCCCGCAACGAGCGCAACCCUCGUCCUAUGUUGCCAGCACGUUAAGGUGGGAACUCAUGGGAUACUGCCGGGGUCAACUCGGAGGAAGGUGGGGAUGACGUCAAGUCCUCAUGGCCCUUACGUGUUGGGCCACACACGUGCUACAAUGGCAGUGACAAUGAGAUGCUAAACAGCGAUGUUAAGCUAAACUCAAAAAACUGCCUCAGUUCGGAUUGCACUCUGCAACUCGAGUGCAUGAAGCUGGAAUCGCUAGUAAUCGCUCAUCAGCGCGGAGCGGUGAAUACGUUCCCGGGUCUGUACACACCGAAUCUAGAUGCAUCGGAGCGGC